rnacentral:rRNA from 1 species
GGACCAACCCACUAACAGUCGAGUCGACUCCUCCGCCUCCCUCUGUGGCUGCUGUGCUCAUCUUCGAUGGCCGGUCCGAGAGCGAGAGAACACCUAACCUGCCGAAGAAGCAGCAGCAGAAGAAGAGGGGGAACAGGAUAAAGAAGGGACGAGACGAGGCAACGAGGUAACGACGACGACGGCCAAGGUAGAGGCAGGUGGUGGCGGACGACGAUGAGGUAGAAGAAGAGAGAGCGUCAGCGGCCGCUGUUGACAACGACUUAGCCGACGACCAAGGUAGAGCCAGGUGGUGGACGACGAACGAGAAGAGAGCGGCCGCCGGGUAAAACAAAGAAGGGGAACACUAAAACCCAGGAGGCUCCGCUGGUUGGUACUGCGGAAGAAGGAUGAUUGAUUGAUUGCUCGACGUUCCGACUAAAUGUGUUCGUUCGUUCCCCUCGUUAGUCAGUCCGUCCGUCCUCUAAGUCUCGAAUUAAAGUCAUUAAAGCGGUACUUAUUGUUAUGCGAGUACUAGUGGUGGUCGUGGUCGUCAUAGUCGUCUCUCCCGUCGCAGCUGCCAUUUGUGUUGGCACAGGUAAAGGACGACGGCCGCAUGGUUUGGUGGCAGUUCGUUGGACUGCUGAGACUGCCACGGCGACUUAAGUUAUUGGGACUCCUCCCACUACGGCACACCCAUGGUGGUCUCGGCCGGUGGUUGCUACUGCUAUGGUUGGUAAACCCACGUGUGUGUUUACUACUACUACUGCUGCUGCUACUACUUACCGUACUACCAUAGUCGACCCCCGUCGGCUCGAGGUCACUGAGACUUGGGUCGGGCUCAGGAUCAGGGUCCCUCCUGGCCGUGUGACCCUACGAGUUCCGGUACCUGUUCGUCGAUUUCUACGAGUGGUGUGCCAAGGAUCGUAGACGUCCGUAGAGGAACGGGGUGCUUCUACUGCCGCCGCUUUCGACCGAGCUGUAGCAUUGGCGGGACAGGACCCUCCGACGAGACGAGUAGUUCGGACUGCCGUUUCGGCCUUUACUUUACCUGGGACCCAGAAUAUAGUUCCAGUUCGCGUAGCGGAGGCCGUGGGCUUCUGUCACACUCCACUAGUUGCCCAACCACAAGUCCUUCAUACGUCGAGUGUUCGUGUACGGGUGGUUCACGGUGUUGGGGUUCGACGACGACGAGGUUCCGCGGGAGCCCCUGAGGCUACAACCAGACAGUAGUAAACUAAGGUACCCUGUCCUUUUCCUGGUAAACCUUUUCCGAUAGUCGGUUCACUACCUCUUUACACGAGGUCUACAGUAGGACCACCUCUUUUGUCAAAGCGCCCUGUAUGUCCUCGAAGAGGACUUGGUUCCACAGUGAGACCACGAGCUAUACUUCGAGCUGGCCAACGUCUCUUAACGAGCGACAAGACCUAGAGGAUAUCAGAGACAAAACCUGUAGUACUGGUACUGCUUCGACUUUGUCACGCUGAUGAAGGUGUAGCUUUUCCAGUACCUCCUCGUAUUGCCACCACUCCCGCCCUUCGCCUGUAACUUUUGCAACUACAAGAACCUUCCGAAAGGGUCCGGCAACCCUACGUGCUAUAAUAACGCUCCUCGUUUAUCGCUUCUUGACUUCUUUCAGUUCGUUCAGUACGAGAUGUGGCACAAACGUCGCAUGGUGGACCAAGAACUCCGUAGGAAGAAACUCCUAGUCUUCCAUAAGAACUUACGAAGUUUGAGACAACCAUACUUCCUUCCCGGUAGUAGAGGACAGUCAGUACGUCUCUUACCACAGUCCAUAUCAUCUAGUCACCUCGUGUAAAGACUACGUCUCCGUUCAUGACGAGUAAGACGUUUAAGUCUACGGAAUGUGAGUGGCUGCCUACCGACGAGCUCACCCGAGUGCCUCCCACGUUCAUUUUGGUAGGUAAGUUUAGUACGUGAAGGAAGACUUUUUUACGACCAUUGUAGUCAGAGCCCUAGUGACUCUCCUAAGUAGCUAUUUAAGGCGGCAGUCUUAUAAAUAGAUGGACAGUGAAGAGUUCUCUGUCGACUAUUGGUCUUUCUUCCUUGUGGACUCGAGUUAGUUCUACAUGGUUCACUUCCAGAAGUACGGCACCAUUACUGUCUACCUGGUCAACUAAGGCCACUCAUGUGCCUGUCAAAUUUUCUAAAGGUCUUUGUUUUUCUAGUCGUUUACUAUGACCGACCAGUAGGUUGGUAACCUUUUGUACUCGUUAACAGUCAACGUAAACUUUUACCCCUCGUUGUGUCGUGGGGAAUGUCACUUCUCUUUUGAAUGUAACUGCUCCGACUGCUGCACAACCUAAGAGUCUCGUAUGACUAAAACUACAGAUCGGUUACGUAGCGAUUUGUCCAGUAAACACUCGUCUCAGUAGACAGGGCCUAUUUAAUAAUACCUUUAAAACUGCAGAGGAAUCCUGCUAUAAACGUUCUGUAAAACGUCUUAGUCUUGGAUUCGACAAAGAGUACGCCUCUCGGAGGCCUCAGAGUGUACAUGAGAAUGUGGGUGGCGCUACCAUUGGACUGUCAAGAACACUUCGCAAACGACGGACUCGUAGCGAACAGACCACUUAGGUUUCCCUUUUAAACCUACACCUGAUCUACAAAUUCUACACUCGUCCUUUCGCCCUAUAGGUUUAGUAGAGCUUCUCACUACUACAGGCGACUCCGUGCCUUAGAGAGCAAGCCCUUCAAGGAACUUGAGUCAAAAAGUUCGGUGAGACGACUGUCUUCCGAUAGUCAGACACCUGUGAGCCACUUGUCCCUGACGAACGCGAAAAAACCCGACCCGAGGUUUCAACGUUACAAAGUCAUAAGUAGCCAGCUUUAUAUGUUGCGGACGUUCGGUGUCGUUUGGGAGCUCAAGGUAUUAGGGUCAUGUGUACUCAACAAGCUCGUUGUCCCCUCUUUACAAGAACGGUCUCCUCAAUGGGAAAAGUGACUUCAACUUUUGUAUUAUGUCGUGUACUUCUUAGUCAAAGGACUCCACCACUAGUUGACGCCGCGGAAGGAAGGACAAUUUCUCAAAAGACUUGAGCUACUCUACAACCAGUUUCUCUUCCGGCUCAAACACCUAAAAGAGUACUUCCGACGACUAGCCGUACCCCACAGAUCCAGGAGCCAUGUACUCUAAGAACUACAUUUAACCGAGAUAGUCCUGGAGGACGAACCUGUCAUACAGACCCUGGCAGCCAACGUACCUGAAGAUGAACCAUUUAGACGACCUUUUCUUUCUUACUCAUUGUCGUACUUCUUCCACUGAUAACUUGAAUGAAUACUGGCUUGUCGUUGACCUCGGCUCCGGCUACCAUAGCGGCUCCCGUGGUCGUCGGUUGAUAGUAACCUCUUACCUAGAUAACUCGGUCACGUCAAACCACUUGACCCCCACUUGUCUGUAAGUAGUCGUCACUGACUACUUUGGGUAGUCCUAUCCGUGAUACUUUUCGUUCGAUCGCGUGGCAGGUCUUGUAGUCUAUAUAACCUACGAGUCCCCGUCUCUUUACCAGGCUAAAAUGUUGCAAGCUAAAGGAAAUUCGUUCCAUAAGUUGUUAAGUCUCAAAGACUUACCCUCCUGUCCCUCUUUACCCAGACCUCAGGUGAAUCACUCAAUUCUAACCGAAUGUCCGUCCUCGAAGUCCGGCCUACAAACCUUUUUAAACUCGAACAAUUGGCGAUAAGCGGUAGAGUAGACGGUGGGAACAUGUUUGUUAGACGACUUCUCCGCGGGAGAGGUGCCAAGCAGCAACCAGGCCCACCGUUACAGAACAGACAUAGUCUCCUACUCUAUAGGUCGUAUCAGAGGACACGAGAGCGGUAUAGGCUCCUGGCAGCGGUGGACGACCUAAGAUAACAGCUCUCAGUACGUAGCCUGUGAUGAUCGUACAAUAGGCUUAGAAGGAGAAGGCGGAGAAGUAGUAGGACCAGUAGGCUUAGAAGUCUAAGACUUCGUCCGAAAAACAGGCUGCUUGACAUGUUGAUGCUGUCGAGCGAGGAUAGUAGGAGAGAGGUAGGCCUCUAUAGACAGUUACCCUUUCGUUUAGAGUUUCCUUUUAUAAGUCAAUAUACACACGUGCGAUUAGUCAAAAUGUGAGAAUCUGUCUUUACGACAGGUAGACUCGAACGUAUACAGCGAAGGGAUUCGGCUACGUUCUUUACCUUGCGCGUUCCGCCUUUCUCGUUCCGAAAGAAACGCUUUUGUUACCUACCGUCCAAGUAGCAGUUCGUUUAUGUUUUCUGUCUCAAGCUCAGAAAGUAUCUUAAACGGGGCCUAAUGAAGUUCGUACAAACGGUGAGAGAGCUGUGGCCCUCGGUUUGGACGGAACGGUUUUAAGAUCCGUAGAUAGUCCAAUUCGUCUAUUCCGUGCCGUUCCUUCACUUCUAACUAGACUACCACUACCUUUUAGAGGAGAAACCUGUGUUACACAGUGCCUAUAUGCUAGAAUUUCCACGCCAAAAGAGAGCUAUGUAUCGGCUGAGCUCACUGGGAGUGUGACAGAUGAACCUAGUUUUGAAACAGCUCCUAUACGCACAGAGAGGUUAGAUAUAACCACCCUCUUGUUUUGUAGAGAACGUCGCCCGUUAGACCUUGCUAUGUAGAAAGGAGUGCAGUCAAUUACAGUACCUGAUGAGAGAUGAACACCCUCAGCUACUUGUUUUGGUACUUAAACAUGAACCGUAGUAGCUAAUGGACUCCGUCAUGUGUACCCUGUUCGUUGACCUCUGUACCCGCUUUUGAAGAGAGCACCACGGCUUCUUACUCAGCGGCUGUCACUAAAGUGGGUCCCUCAUGUUCUUUUCCAAGUCCUUCAAGUACCGGUUCAUAAAGGAUUGCCAGGGUCUACUAACCUGGUGGCGCUUCUUCUCAAGUCCCUGGACAUUUAUAACACGAGCGCCGUUGACAUUGAACAGUUUCUAGCUGUCGGUCUUCGGAGUUGAAGCUCGACUCAGCACGAGAUAGGUCACUUCUUGACGAGAGCGGCAAUACCUCAAGUAGAAGGUCGAAUAAAAAAUCGGUAAAACGUUGGUCACAUGUAUCCUAUUCACGUACCUAAGUGGAAAUUUCAAUAGGAUUCAAACGUAUAAAAUCCGUUUGAAAACCCCCUUCACUCCAGGUUUUAUGUACAUGGGUGAUUCAAAAUAACAACAUUUUCAAGUGUUACUCAUUUCACUUUAGUGUACUAAACAUCUAGUAAACAA